GGACUUUAGGGCAAUCUGGCUGCAACUUCUGAUUACCAGGGUUCAUUAUGCUGAUCUAGCUGGUCAGACAGGUGUCUACUUCUUACCGCAUUGUUCUCUUAUGCCCCUAUUAAAUCUGCAUGCUCAAUCCAGGAAGAUGAACUUUGUCCUAAAAGAGAUGGACUAUUCUUCUUUAAAGGGUGUAUGAAUAUCUCUACUUUGCUAGAACCUCCAAAUAGCUCUCAAGAUCCACAGUCAUCUACAGGAACUUUAUUUAGGGGAAAAAAAAACAUUUACAAAUUCCAUCUGGGGGGGGGGCGGU
rnacentral:snRNA from 1 species